rnacentral:rRNA from 1 species
AUUGAACGCUGGCGGCAUGCCUUACACAUGCAAGUCGGACGGUAACGCGGGGCAACCUGGCGACGAGUGGCGAACGGGUGAGUAAUGUAUCGGAACGUGCCCAGUUGUGGGGGAUAACUGCUCGAAAGAGCAGCUAAUACCGCAUACGACCUGAGGGUGAAAGCGGGGGAUCGCAAGACCUCGCGCAAUUGGAGCGGCCGAUAUCAGAUUAGGUAGUUGGUGGGGUAAAGGCUCACCAAGCCGACGAUCUGUAGCUGGUCUGAGAGGACGACCAGCCACACUGGGACUGAGACACGGCCCAGACUCCUACGGGAGGCAGCAGUGGGGAAUUUUGGACAAUGGACGCAAGUCUGAUCCAGCCAUGCCGCGUGCGGGAAGAAGGCCUUCGGGUUGUAAACCGCUUUUGUCAGGGAAGAAACGCUCUGGGUUAAUACCUCGGGGUAAUGACGGUACCUGAAGAAUAAGCACCGGCUAACUACGUGCCAGCAGCCGCAGUAA